UUUUCACAUUUCAAUGAUCUACCUCUACCUCCCUCCCUCUUUCAUAGCCUUCACCUCCCACCUCUCUCUCCAUCAUGUAGUGCCUUCACCUCUCACAUCUACCUCCCUGUCAGCCCCCUCAAAGCCAAACACAGUUCUCAUGGCAAACUCAAAUACAAACCCAGUAGAUACACUCCAUUCACCAUCUGACAUCUUCUUACAAAAUCACCCAAUCUUUCAAUUUUGUGUCGGCAAGGUAAUUUAAAAAAAAAAAAUUAUGUUGCGCGUGAGAACCAAGGUUUGUUUUCUCUUUAGCUUUUCUAUUCUUGGUUCGAUAGUGAUAAUCCAGAACUCUUUUGAUUAAUAUAAAUUAUUACUAUUUAAAAUUUUUCAUCAAUUAUUAGUACACAAUGAAUCACUAGAUGCAGUAGAUUUGAUGUCGGUUUGGUGGCUAAUAUUUAUCUAAAAAAUUCCAUCAAUUAUAGAAUAUAUUUCAUGCAUAAGCUUAUGUGCUCUCUAAUUGUUCUUAUGCUGGUUUGGUGGCUAAUAUUUGUGAUUAUCAAGGAAAGGUGAUUAGGGCAUGUAGUUUGAAGAUGAUUGUUAUUAGGAACAUAUGCAUUCUGUUAAGUUUGCAUAGGAUGUUAGUGUUCAGACUUUGCUUUGGAGUAUCACAAGACUAAACUUAUGAAAAUCUUGCAAAUGGGUCAGGCACCUUUCAAAGGUACAAUUUAUUGGCAAUCUAUUGGUAGAGCUUAACUAUCUUAUGCAACAUAUGCAACUUAAUCACAGUUGUGUUUAUUGUGGUGUCUAAAUUUGGAAAUAGGGUGACUAUACAAUUAGUAAGUUAUGCAAAAAAUCUGAUCCAAAGAUUGAUGAAAAUUUUAAAAUUUUUGAUAAACACUUGAAUUGAAACUACAGAUCCAGUACGAAAUAGCCAUCAAUCGAGGCUACUACACAAGGUUUUUGUUUCUUAGGCGUUUUCAUUUGUUUUGACUUUGAUAUUGUGAAUUUUAUCUGGGUUCAUGUUGUUUAGGAGAUUGGAAUCCUAGAAAUUGAAAUUUAAUUCUUUAUUGAUUAUUUGAGGAUUGGAAUCCUAAUUUUUAUUUAAAUUUUUGUUUAAAUGAUAUUUUUCAUUGAGUAAUUGAAUGUUUCGUAUAAAGGAUAGAGAUUUUUGAGAUUGGAAUCCUAAUGUGCAACAUUCAUUCUUUGUGAUGAGAAUUAGAUACUAAUGUGCAGUAUUCAUUCUUUGUGAUGGGAGUUAGAUAUCUAUUUGCUUUAUUUCUAAUUACUUUAGAUAUCUAUUUGCUACUAAAAGAUAUCAAAAUGACCCUCACUUUCACAAAACAUAAGGUAUUACAUUCACAAAACUUAACGUAAGGUAUCCUAUGCUUUCAAACUUUGUGAAAAAAUUCAAAUCAAUUCCAUCUGUUUGUCUCAUGUUUUUGUUUUGUGCAUGUUUAGGUUACUAAGGCAACAAAAUUAAAAAUUUAAGGUUGCUUGGCACUGUCAACAACAUUGCAUAAGUGAUUUGACUGAGGAGAAUGGCCAAAAUCAAGCGAAAGGAGCUUUUGUUUUGAGAAAAGUCUUCAAUUCAAGUAUUGCGUCGAUGUAGUCUUGACUUGAACACAAGAUGUCCUCCACUUGGAUUGGAAAGUGGAUUGAAAGAUCUUUGGAAUGAAAUUGUGAUGAAUCUCUGGCUGUGCAUUUGUUAGGGAUUUCUUGUUCUUUGCGUUCUUCAUGGGUUCUUCAAAUUUUAUUGAUCUUCGAAGAUUUAUGGUGGAAGUUCUUCGGGGCUUUAGAACUUGAAUCUGAUAAAACUUUGAUGGAUCAAAGUCAUUGAAGUUUUUGGAGGCUUUGAAGUUUGAUUCCAGUAGAACUUUAAGACUUGGAAGAAUGAUUUGGAUGAAUGUUCUUCAUCUUUGAAGAUUUGUAGUGAAAGUUCUUUGGGGGUUUGGAGGCUUGGAUCCAUAGAGCUUCACUAAUUUGUAGUCUCUUAGUGUUUAUGGAGGCUUUUGAGCUUGAUUACAAUGAGCUUUGAGAUCGAGAAGGAUGACUUGAAUGCUUUUGCUUUGAAUGUUCUUCGUACUCGAAGGUUGAAGUUCUUGAUUUUCUUAGAAGUUUUGGAGCUUGAUUCCGGCAGAGCUUCAAAACUUCUGAAUAUUUCUAAAUCCCCUGUAAGACUGAGAAGGGUCUUUAUUUAUAGGAGUCCUAGAGAGUUGUGAUAACACACGAUUGACUAUCAUUAAUGACAUGUGUCAUAAUUUACAUGGAGGGACUUUAUGCCUUGUUCUCCAAGGGACACAUUACAUUAUUUGAUUAGCCAUAGUGCUUUAAUUUAAAAUAACACAUUUUAGCCUUUAAUUAGACUGCUUAUGUCAUAUAAAUUAACAUGAGCUAACAUUUGAUUGGUUCUCAAGUAUUCUUUGUAAUUUUUAUUCUUUAACACUUGGAAUAUUUUCAUUGGUCUUUGAAUAAUGAUAAUGACACCCAUUAAAUAAUACGUGACUUCUUGUAAUUAGCCGCUUUAAAUGUACUACAUGAAUUUUGUGGUCUGACGUGGCAAUUUAUGAUUGGUAGAAAAUUUCACUUUCUACAGAUGUAUGCUAUGGUUGGUUGAUGAGCAUGAUAGAUGAAUGUUAGGUCUUUGGGAUGAAAUGCUAUGUUGUAUGCUAGUGUGUGUGUGUGAGUUAGAUGCAAUGUUGAAUGUGCCUUUAAUAAGAUUAAGACGUAGGACACAAUUGAGUGGAAGCUGACCCACGGGUCAGGUGGUUUUGGGUGCCUAACACCUUCCCAAGACCGUACCUAAACUUCGAACCCAUACUUUGGUAGUAAGACUAGUCCUUCCACGUAAGGACGCUAUAUUCAUGGUUCCUAGACCAUAAAACUAGGUGGCAACUCCUUGUUUCUCUGCCCCAAUCCACUCGGCCAAGGCGUACUCCUCAAAGCGACCACGCCUUGCGCCCAUAGUGGCGACUCCACUAGGGAUAUAGAGUUUGAUUCUAAUGUGUCCUAUUUUUUAAUGUUAAUAAAGGCUUGUUUAAUAUUUGUUUGCACACACUUCACUUGGUUAUUUGUCCCUUUAUCUCGAUUGGUGAUAAUUGGGAAGAUGAGUACACUCCAUUCAAGCCAAAGUCUUUUGAAGUUCAUCCCAUCAACUCACAAUGUGUGCCAUUGCCUAUGAUGGGCUUUGAGUACGUUAACGGUUUGCACUAAUUCGCAAAGGUCCACUUAGGCCCUCGGUUGGAAUCAUGGCCCACCUAGUUGUGAGUGGCCUACUUAUCUAUCCUUUUAGCUCUAAGGAACCUACCCACACUUAGAAAGAUCCUAGAUCUCAUCAAAAGUGGAUACCCUUUAUAUCUCUUGUUUGUUCAACCAUAUAUCUUGUGGUCACCUAACUCUAAAGAACAAAUAUAAGAUAUAAAAUUGAAGGAUGACCCAAAAGUUAUGGCAUACCCUAAAAUUUUUAGGAUAAAAGAAAAGAUGUUCUCACAUAUAAGAGGUUUAUCCUAAAUUCCAAAGGUAUAUCUUAACUUGAAAGGUUCAUAAGACUAUAGCCUAAUUGCUCUCAUAAGCCAAAAUAAAAAGGCCUUUUGAAAAAGAGGACCUUGGACUUAAGGUAGCAAGUAUGUUAUGGACUCGGCAUCCAAUGUUCCAUAAAGUCAAAAUGAAAUCCCCUAAUCUUGGGCCUCUUUGUUGCAUGCCUAAGCCCAAAUAAUGAGAAAUUCAUGGACUUUGAAGGAAAGGCUACAAUAUAUUCUAGCUAGAAGGUAAAAAAAUAAUGAUAAAUAAAAUGAGAAAGAAGAGCCGAAAGGUGAUGAAUACAUUGUAGGCCCAUAUUUGAGACAAAGAGUCGAAAAUCUCUAAGUACAUUCUAAUGAAAGCCCAUGAGAGUAAGAUGAAAGCAUUAUUGUAAAAUGGACUAAAGCCUAAAUGAAACAAGGGGCAAGGUUCAUGAGAGGAAAGAAAGCGAUUUUGUAAUUAGGCCUUCACUAAAAUGGACUUGAAGACUUUCCAAGAACAUCUAAAAGAGAACUCUUUUCUUUUUUUGGGGCAUGUAUUUACUAAAACUCGUUGGGCCCUCUUAGUUUUCCACGUGCCACGAUGUUGACUUAAGAAGACAUCGAUCGAAUGAUGACCGAAGGAAAGGUUCGCUUUUUUCUACCAGAAUUCGUGACACAACUGAGAAGCACUCUCGGACCAUGGACCUUCAGAAGGGCCCACGUCAACGAUUUCCCUAAAUUAGGAAGUAAAGGAUCAUGAGAAGACCAUGACUGGCCAAAAUGGACCUUGAUGGCAGAAGCAAAUCAAGUCAACCCAGCUCACUUCAUGCUUGAACGUGACAUAGACCCUCCUUCUAAUGAUGAUCAAUACCUUGUGCUGACCCAAGAUGAGGGGGAGGAAGGAGAUGAUGGAGUAAUUAGCUAUUGGAGUGAAGACGAUGGCGACUAGUUUCUUAACAAGGCAGGAAGAGAUCUCCCCAAUGAAGGUGAACUUCUGUAUGACAAAACUAAAGCUAUACGCAAGUGGGGGCCUCUAAAAGAUGAAGACUAGUCCACUAAAUUGAAGACUUUGUUCGAAGAGGAGGACGAAAAGGAAAGUAGCACACGCUAAAGAGGAGGAAGGAUAGAAUUCAUCAAGGGGCACCUCAAUAAUUGGACUUGGGUUGGGUUUUCUAAGAAUGAGGGAAAGAAAUUUUGUAAUGCAAGUUCCAAUGUACUUUUCAACAUUUUAAAUAAAAUGAAUUCUUAUUUGGCUU